CAGAUGCCUAAAAAGGGUAAAAACAAAGGGGCGGUGACAGAAGAGAGUGAGCACACAUGGCGUUUUCUGGCAUGAUGUUUAUAUAUAUAUAUGCUUGAAACUAUGUGUGCUCACUGCUCUAUCUGUCACCUCCCACCAAUUCCUCUAUCUUUCUUUAUAUGUAUCUG